AUAAUACAAUUUGGAGACAUCUCCGGGUUGUCAAAGGAGUGAUCCGGCAGAGGAUGGACAUGCGGCGCAUUAGCUAGUCGGCGGGGUAACGGCCCACCGAGGCUACGAUGCGUAGGGGUUCUGAGAGGAAGGUCCCCCACACUGGUACUGAGACACGGACCAGACUCCUACGGGAGGCAACAGUGAGGAAUAUUGGUCAAUGGGCGGAAGCCUGAACCAGCCAAGUCGCGUGAGGGAAGACGGUCCUAUGGAUUGUAAACCUCUUUUGCAGGGGAGCAAGGCGCGGUACGUGUACCGCGAAGG
rnacentral:rRNA from 1 species